rnacentral:lncRNA from 1 species
GGAUGGAUGAGCGUCUUUUCUCAAUUGUGAGAGUGUUGUAAUAUCGAGCAGAUAGACUGGUUUUCUAAUCUUACUCAACACUUGGUUUACAAUAGCAGCUGCUGCAGGUGCACCCGCUGGGUAAGUAGGCCCUGAUAGUGGUUCUAGCUCUCCAUAACAGUUCUUUGAUUGCGAAUUCCAUUCCUUGCCCCUGGUUUCAUAGAAGAACUCACAUUGUUAGCUAAUUGCUUCUUGUUUUGCUAUCAUUGACAUUUUGCAGAAAUAAUUUAGUGUAAAUACAGUUGCAAGCUGGAAAGAUUCCGAUGUAGAGUGUACGUAGUAGGGAGGAAGCUUACAUAUAAUGGGUGGGAGAAAUCCCCUGGAAGAAAACUUUGGUUUUGG